rnacentral:rRNA from 1 species
ACGCACGCUGGCGGCAGGCCUAACACAUGCAAGUCGAGCGAGGACUUCGGUCCUAGCGGCGGACGGGUGAGUAACGCGUGGGAACGUGCCCUUUGCUUCGGAAUAGCCCUGGGAAACUGGGAGUAAUACCGGAUGAGCCCUUUGGGGGAAAGAUUUAUCGGCGAAGGAUCGGCCCGCGUUGGAUUAGGUAGUUGGUGGGGUAAUGGCCUACCAAGCCGACGAUCCAUAGCUGGUUUGAGAGGAUGAUCAGCCACACUGGGACUGAGACACGGCCCAGACUCCUACGGGAGGCAGCAGUGGGGAAUCUUAGACAAUGGGGGAAACCCUGAUCUAGCCAUGCCGCGUGAGCGAUGAAGGCCUUAGGGUUGUAAAGCUCUUUCAGCUGGGAAGAUAAUGACGGUACCAGCAGAAGAAGCCCCGGCUAACUCCGUG